rnacentral:rRNA from 1 species
GAAGAAGGCCUUCGGGUUGUAAAGUACUUUCAGUUGUGAGGAAGGCAGUAAAGUUAAUAGCUUUGCUGUUUGACGUUAGCAACAGAAGAAGCACCGGCUAACUCCGUGCCAGCAGCCGCGGUAAUACGGAGGGUGCGAGCGUUAAUCGGAAUUACUGGGCGUAAAGCGCAUGCAGGUGGUCUGUUAAGCAAGAUGUGAAAGCCCGGGGCUCAACCUCGGAACAGCAUUUUGAACUGGCAGACUAGAGUACUGUAGAGGGGGGUAGAAUUUCAGGUGUAGCGGUGAAAUGCGUAGAGAUCUGAAGGAAUACCGGUGGCGAAGGCGGCCCCCUGGACAGAUACUGACACUCAGAUGCGAAAGCGUGGGGAGCAAACAGGAUUAGAUACCCUGGUAGUCCACGCCGUAAACGAUGUCUACUUGGAGGUUGUGGCCUUGAGCCGUGGCUUUCGGAGCUAACGCGUUAAGUAGACCGCCUGGGGAGUACGGUCGCAAGAUUAAAACUCAAAUGAAUUGACGGGGGCCCGCACAAGCGGUGGAGCAUGUGGUUUAAUUCGAUGCAACGCGAAGAACCUUACCUACUCUUGACAUCCAAAGAAUUCGCUAGAGAUAGCUUAGUGCCUUCGGGAACUCUGAGACAGGUGCUGCAUGGCUGUCGUCAGCUCGUGUUGCG